rnacentral:misc_RNA from 1 species
AAGUCGUAACAAGGUUUCCGUAGGUGAACCUGCGGAAGGAUCAUUAACACGUAUCCAAACGUUAAAACCCCCCCCGUGAACUUUCAAUCCAGCUCUUGUAACCCGCGUAGUUCCGCAAUCUCUGGUAAAUCAUAGCCCUGCCUACGUGAGAAAAAUGGAACAGUUACAAUCGAGCGGUAGUUUCAUAGGCAUUGUUUCCCCAAGCAGUCAGUGUCGGAAAGUGUCAUUGAUUGUGCAAGGAUAGCGCUUCCACGAUUCCUGUAGACCGUACACUCGGGCAGGAGCUAUGCCAAAGGGUCCCCAUGCCCCCUUACAACCCCACAGUUUAAUGUAAAGCUCAAUGUAAUACAUUGGGUAAAAAAACCGAACAACUGUUAACAAUGGAUAUCUUGGUUCUC